GCAAUGAAUGUGUGCAAACAUAAUUGAAUUUGAUAAAUUUACUCUUUGCAGAUGAAUGGUUUAAAUGUGAUGACGACACUGUUUCUAUGGUACCAUCAGAAGAAAUUUUAAAACUAUCCGGAGGAGGGGACUGGCAUUGUGCAUACUUGCUUCUUUAUGGCCCACGUAUACUGGAAGUAGAAGAUGAAUCAGGAACUUCUUCAUGAACAUUUCACUGAAAAAUCAUUAGUAUAAAGUCUAAAUCCUCACAUUGUAACUAACUGGCUGGCUUUUGGGCCCUGUGAAAACACUUCACCUGUACUUUAAUCAUUCUGUUCAGUCUGUUUAAAUAAUAUUAAGAAGCCUCAUUUAAAGUCAGCAUUAGAAAAUUCUUUUGUAAAAAAAAAGAACAAAAAAAAAUGAUGCAAAACCUAAGUUUGUAAUUCCUUUUUUGUUGCUAUUGCUUUUAUAUAACUUUCGUAUGUUGUUAUAAUAUUUUGAAUUAAAUUAUGCAAAUAAG